GAGGAUUCUUGUACCUUGCAAGCUCGGCUGGAGUUACUGGUGCUCGUCCUACGGUGAACAGCCAAGUGCAGUAUCUUCUCAGGGAUAUCAAAAGGGCAUCCGAGAAGCCUGUUGCAGUAGGGUUUGGAGUAUCAAAACCACAGCACGUCCAACAGAUCUGUUCGUGGGGAGCCGACGGCGUGAUCGUUGGCAG